CCUACGGGUGGCAGCAGUAGGGAAUGUUGCGCAAUGGGCGAAAGCCUGACGCAGCAACGCCGCGUGAAGGAGAAGGACUUCGGGGAGUAAAGUUUUGUCAGUGGGGACGAAAAAUGACGGUACCCACAGAGGAAGCACCGGCUAACUCCGUGCCAGCAGCCGCGGGAAUACGGAGGGUGCAAGAGUUGUCCGGAAUCAUUGGGCGUAAAGAGUUCGUAGGCGGCAUGUAAAGUCAGGUGUUAAAGGCGCAGGCUCAACCUGUGUAUGGCACGUGAUACUUGCAAGCUGGAGUGCGGUAGAGGUAAGGGGAAUGCCUGGUGUAGCGGUGAAAUGCUUAGAUAUCAGGAGGAACAUCGGUUGCGUAGGCGCUUUACUGGGCCGUAAUUGACGCUGAGGAACGAAAGCCAGGGUAGCAAAUGGGAUUAGAUACCCUAGUAGUC
rnacentral:rRNA from 1 species